CCUACGGGAGGCAGCAGUGGGGAAUAUUGCGCAAUGGGCGAAAGCCUGACGCAGCGACGCCGCGUGAGGGAUGAAGGUCUUCGGAUCGUAAACCUCUGUCAGCAGGGAAGAACGGUCAAUGUGCUAAUCAGCAGUGAAUUGACGGUACCUGCAAAGGAAGCACCGGCUAACUCCGUGCCAGCAGCCGCGGUAAUACGGAGGGUGAGAGCGAUAAAAGGAAUUACUGGGGGUAAAGCGCGCGUAGGCGGUAUGUCAAGUCAAGGGUGAAAUCCCCGCGCUCAACGUGGGAAGUGCCUUUGAAACUGGCAAACUGGAGUAUGUGAGAGGAUAGUGGAAUUCCAGGUGUAGGAGUGAAAUGCGUAGAUAUCUGGAGGAACAUCAGUGGCGAAGGCGACUAUCUGGCACAUAACUGACGCUGAGGAGCGAAAGCGUGGGUAGCAAACAGGAUUAGAUACCCUGGUAGUC
rnacentral:rRNA from 1 species